GUCGGUCAGUCGGUCUGUUGGUCGGCUGUUGUGGUUUUUCCAUUUCUUUUUCCGGGCCUGGACGACGCUCUUGUUUCAUCCACCCCCACUACCACUCCCCAUCUUCCCUUCAUCUCGACAUGCGAUCUGGUUCUUAUCGUGCAUCUCAUCAUCUUUGCUUUCUUCUCUUGCAUUGCAUUAUCCCCCUCCCUCCCCUCUCGUCUCGUAGUUCACACGCCUCUUGUCUGGUGCUAAUUGGCCUGCCGCUCCCUGCUAAUGCUCCUCAUCUCAUUCAUCUCUCUCUUGCCCAUAUCUCACAUACGACCUCCCCUCACGAGCCCUUCACAAUCAG
rnacentral:misc_RNA from 1 species